rnacentral:rRNA from 1 species
AGAGUUUGAUCCUGGCUCAGGACGAACGCUUGCGGCGUGCUUAACACAUGCAAGUCGAACGGAAAGGCCUCUUCGGAGGUACUCGAGUGGCGAACGGGUGAGUAACACGUGGGCAAUCUGCCCUGCACUUCGGGAUAAGCCUGGGAAACUGGGUCUAAUACCGGAUAGGACCUCAAGACGCAUGUCUUCUGGUGGAAAGCUUUUGCGGUGUGGGAUGGGCCCGCGGCCUAUCAGCUUGUUGGUGGGGUGACGGCCUACCAAGGCGACGACGGGUAGCCGGCCUGAGAGGGUGUCCGGCCACACUGGGACUGAGAUACGGCCCAGACUCCUACGGGAGGCAGCAGAAGGG